UACGUAGGUGGCAAGCGUUGUCCGGAUUUACUGGGCGUAAAGAGUGCGCAGGCGGCCGCGCAAGUCGAGUGUGAAAGCCCCGAGCUUAACUUGGGAAUUGCGCUCGAAACUACGUGGCUGGAGUGUGGCAGAGGAAGGUGGAAUUCCACGUGUAGCGGUGAAAUGCGUAGAGAUGUGGAGGAACACCAAUGGCGAAGGCAGCCUUCUGGGCCAACACUGACGCUCAUGCACGAAAGCGUGGGGAGCAAACAGG
rnacentral:rRNA from 1 species